GGGGUGCCUGUGUGGCUCAGUCGGUUGAGCACCUGACUUUGGCUCAGGUCAUGAUCUCACAGCUUGCACGUUCCAGCCCCCCAUCGGACUCUGUUCUAACAGCUCAGAGCCUAGAGCCUGCUUCAGAUUCUGUGUCUCCCUCUCUCUCUGCUCCUCCCCUGCUCAUGCUUUCUCUCUC